CCAAUGCAUCAGGGAGCACAAAAAUGAUAUAAAGCAAGCGAAGUUGACAAUGGCCCUCGCCAUCAGUGCGUACGAAUCAGACUUAACCAUUCACUGGGAGGAGGCAAAAGUAAUAAAACGGGUAAAUAACCCCUCACAGGGCUUCAACACUGAGACACUGGAGAUCCUCAAGCGCCAAAAUAGAGAGACCCUAUUAAAUGAGAAUCCCACCACUAAGCUACCAGAUGCGUGGAAAUACAUCUUACAGUGCUCGAAGACGGCUCGUACGAACACCGGAUUUAGCCACAACACCGUUAAACCGACCCGACCUGGCUGACCGUGACCU
rnacentral:lncRNA from 1 species